UUGAACGCUGGCGGCAGGCCUAACACAUGCAAGUCGAGCGGCAGCGCGGGGCAACCUGGCGGCGAGCGGCGGACGGGUGAGUAACGCGUAGGAAUCUACCCAGUAGCGGGGGAUAGCCCGGGGAAACUCGGAUUAAUACCGCAUACGCCCUAAGGGGGAAAGCAGGGGAUCGUAAGACCUUGCACUAUUGGAAGAGCCUGCGUUGGAUUAGCUAGUUGGUAGGGUAAAGGCCUACCAAGGCGACGAUCCGUAACUGGUCUGAGAGGAUGAUCAGUCACACCGGAACUGAGACACGGUCCGGACUCCUACGGGAGGCAGCAGUGGGGAAUAUUGGACAAUGGGGGCAACCCUGAUCCAGCCAUGCCGCGUGAAGGAUGAAGGUCUUCGGAUUGUAAACUUCAGUUAAGUGGGAAAAAAGCAUCAUGCUUAAUACGUAUGGUGGAUGAUGGUACCACUAGAGAAAGCACCGGCUAAUCUCGUGCCAGCCGCCGCAGUAA
rnacentral:rRNA from 1 species